GGGGGAGGUCUACAUGCCAGUCGAAACGGGGGUGCCAUGAACGAAGCAUCAGUUUACUGAUAUGGAGGGAAUGGGACCCCUUUGGCGGACGGGUGAGUAACGCGUGGGUAACCUGCCCCCCUUCAGGGGAUAACACUUAGAAAUAGGUGCUAAUACCGCAUAAGCGCACGGUACUGCAUGGUACAGUGUGAAAAACUCCGGUGGUAUGGGAUGGACCCGCGUCUGAUUAGCUUGUUGGCGGGGUAACGGCCCACCAAGGCGACGAUCAGUAGCCGGCCUGAGAGGGUGGACGGCCACAUUGGGACUGAGACACGGCCCAAACUCCUACGGGAGGCAGCAGUGGGGAAUAUUGCACAAUGGGGGAAACCCUGAUGCAGCGACGCCGCGUGAGUGAAGAAGUAUUUCGGUAUGUAAAGCUCUGUCAGCAGGGAAGAAAAUGACGGUACCUGACCAAGAAGCCCCGGCUAACUACGUGCCAGCAGCCGCGGUAAUACGUAGGGGGCAAGCGUUAUCCGGAAUUACUGGGUGUAAAGGGAGCGUAGACGGUGAUGUAAGUCUGGAGUGAAAGGCGGGGGCCCAACCCCCGGACUGCUCUGGAAACUAUGUGACUGGAGUGCAGGAGAGGUGAGCGGAAUUCCUAGUGUAGCGGUGAAAUGCGUAGAUAUUAGGAGGAACACCAGUGGCGAAGGCGGCUUACUGGACUGUAACUGACGUUGAGGCUCGAAAGCGUGGGGAGCAAACAGGAUUAGAUACCCUGGUAGUCCACGCCGUANACGAUGAUCACUAGGUGUCGGUGGGUAUGGGCCCACCGGUGCCGCAGCAAACGCAUUAAGUGAUCCACCUGGGGAGU
rnacentral:rRNA from 1 species